CGAGCGGCGGACGGGUGAGUAAUGUCUGGGAAACUGCCUGAUGGAGGGGGAUAACUACUGGAAACGGUAGCUAAUACCGCAUAACGUCGCAAGACCAAAGAGGGGGACCUUCGGGCCUCUUGCCAUCAGAUGUGCCCAGAUGGGAUUAGCUAGUAGGUGGGGUAACGGCUCACCUAGGCGACGAUCCCUAGCUGGUCUGAGAGGAUGACCAGCCACGCUGGAACUGAGACACGGUCCAGACUCCUACGGGAGGCAGCAGUGGGGAAUAUUGCACAAUGGGCGCAAGCCUGAUGCAGCCAUGCCGCGUGUAUGAAGAAGGCCUUCGGGUUGUAAAGUACUUUCAGCGGGGAGGAUA
rnacentral:rRNA from 1 species